rnacentral:lncRNA from 1 species
GAAGGGGAAAAUAUCUUCCAUGGCACCCUUUUCAACAACUCUUUUGUGAGGUCUCUUAAUCUUAUCAGGAGCUUGUACAUCAUAGAUGUAGGAAACAAUACCACGAUCUUUGUAAAUUUGGAAAAUAAGCUCUCCGAUUGUUAGUAAACAUGUAUAUGCGGCCAUAAAUAAGUCAUUCUAAAGAUGUUUAACAACUUUAGUGAUUUUAUUUUGUUUUAAUCAAUCUAUCCAAAACUCUACAUCGAAUAUAUGGAUUGAGGACUCAUCUUUGUAAUUUUCGCCAUAUUGAUUUUUUACCGGAAGUGUUAAUUUUGUAUUGAAACAUAUGCAGCUGAAUAGAAUUAGUGGUUUUGAGGAUGACUUAAAGCCAAAAGUUUAAUGACAACCCCAAAAAAUUUAUUUUAUUUACAGUUUGAAAAAGUUGAAUAUAAAAAUGAAAAAUUAUCAAUAUUUCUAUGUCCGCCAUAUUGGAUAUUACUGGAAGUAAAAAUUUUAAAGACAUAUGUUUUAUACAUUGUAUCCA